UACGUAGGGACCAAGCGUUGUUCGGAUUUACUGGGCGUAAAGGGCGCGUAGGCGGCUUGACAAGUCACUUGUGAAAUCUCCGGGCUUAACUCGGAACGGCCAAGUGAAACUGUCAUGCUAGAGUGCAGAAGGGGCAAUCGGAAUUCUUGGUGUAGCGGUGAAAUGCGUAGAUAUCAAGAGGAACACCUGAGGUGAAGACAAAUUACUAAACUGACACUAACGCUGAGGCGCGAAAGCCAGGGGAGCAAACGGG
rnacentral:rRNA from 1 species